UACAGAGGUCUCAAGCGUUGUUCGGAUUCAUUGGGCGUAAAGGGUGCGUAGGCGGCGCAACAAGUCACUUGUGAAAUCUCCGGGCUUAACCCGGAGCGGCCAAGUGAUACUGUCGUGCUAGAGUGCGGAAGGGGCUACUGGAAUUCUCGGUGUAGCGGUGAAAUGCGUAGAUAUCGAGAGGAACACCUGCGGCGAAGGCGGGUAGCUGGGCCGACACUGACGCUGAGGCGCGAAAGCCAGGGGAGCGAACGGG
rnacentral:rRNA from 1 species